UCCUGCUGGGAAAGCAGAGAGGGAUCCUUCACCAGGAACUGCAGAGACAGGGCAAGGAGUAUAAACUGAAAGAGGGGAGAUUUAGGCUGGGUAUUUUGGGAGAAAUACUGUACUGUGAGUAUUGUGUGGUGAGACACUGGAACAGGCUGCCACUCUGCCUCCCCUCAUGCAGGGAGGGGUUGGGAUUAGAUGGUCCUUAAGAUCCAUUCCAACCCCUCAGCAUCCUAUGAUGCUGGAAUUCUUCAUUAGCUUAGCACACAUUUCAAAGUGCAGUGGGCUGUUUCUGUUUCACCAUUUUGGUUAUGCAAGAUCAUAAGCUGCUUUAUGAAUUAUAUUAUAAAAGCACGUUCAUUCUUAAGUUGCAAUUACAUAGAAAAUGUGAAAUCAAAUCAGAAUGCUGGGGUUUGCAGUCAGAUUAGCAGAAGUACAGACAUCUCUAAGACAGAUAGCACCAGCAGGGCCAAAAGCUGCAAAUAGGUCCAGUUCCUUGGAGUUAACUAAAUGUCAGUAGUAAAUUCAGCCACUGUUUGAAAAGGAAUUUACUUUUUCUGUGUUUGUUAGAGAAAGGUUUGUGGCUGCCUGUAUGACUGCUUCCUUACUCACAUCACCAAGAAUCCUUCAUUCUCCAUUUUUUUCAUGCAGAGGCAAAAUAAAAUCCUGACCUAGUUCUCUCCUGAAAGAAGGUUUGCUGCCCUUUGUGCGACAUCUGAUCACCCGAGGCAAAGAGAGGGCAGAGAUGAAGAGUGAACAGAAUUACCAAAGCAAUGUUCUUGCCACUGAAAAGAGGGGUACUCUCCUGCUAGCCAUCACAGAAAUGGUGCAGGGAGAACAAGGGGUUCAUUCUGAAUGCAGAACAGCAGUAAUGUCAAGAUCCAUUAAAGCUUCGCCAAGAACAGGAAAAUCUCACAUAGAGAAUCCCCAACAGUCUCCCACUAGUGAGGCAUGACAUCUUCACAACUUGGAAUAGAAUACUUAAGUUUUUUGUACAAGUCUUACAUUUUCUGAGGAUAAUUCUCCACACCUGUCAUCCUGGCUUCUGAUAGCAAAGUCAAAGAUUCUCAGAAUAAUACUUCAGAACACAUUAAAGGAAGGAAAUAUCAUUAAGAAAAUGCCCAACAACUGCAGUGUUUGAAAGAAACUAUUAAAAAGAAAGUCACUGUGUAACAGAAAUGUACAAAAGCACAUCUUGAUCCCCAUUCCAAGUACCUGGAGCUCAGUUGUAUCAAUCUAUCAGGAAGACUGUGCCUAAAAAUUCAUAACUUGGGAGUUACUUACAGCUUACAAAAAUUCCAGGUGAGCAAAACAGAAGAGUAAUUCCAACUUUUUUUAGUAGCUUCCAUCAGAAGUGAGAACAACAGAAAAGAGAUGUUUGGCCAGGAUGAGAAGAGGACAAGGAAGUAGAAGGACAAAUUAAUCUCUUUUGAGAGCCACUAGAUUUUUGGUGGUUAAGACUCUCUAACCCUUCUUCUGUAUACAUUAAUCUCUUAAAGAUAUCUUACAGAAGCAGCUUUAAUCUUUCAGUAGAUGCUGAAAAUGAACAAGUGUGUUGUCCUUGCUGCAGCAGAGGACUAAGACCCACUAAUAAGAAGAAAUAUAGUCCAUGGUGUUUCUGUGACUGAACAUUUACAGUGACAGAAAGGAUAUAAAUAAAGCCUGAGGAUUUCCUUCCAUCCUUCCUUUUUAGUUUACUUUGUGGAAGCACAGAACUAUAAUCCUCUUAUUCAGAAGGACAAAAGGGAAAGGAAGACAAAUCUUUAGUCCAACUCCCCACCUUUAUUCCAUACACAGGAGCUAUACUAAUUUAUUCCCUUGGCUUUGACCUUUCCAAAGGAAAUAGUCUUACUUUGCUCCAGCAUUUAUCACUGGGCCAAAAUGUCAGCACUGUCAGUGGUGUUUUUGAACAGUACUUGUAACAAUGGCUUGCAUGCAGUUCUGGAAAUGGAGAUUCUGAUAUGCUGGUGGAUGGAUGCGGUAUCUCCUCAAGGGGCACAAACAAAAUGGAAUAUCACAAUCACUUUUCCCCAGUACAAAGACUCACAACUUGAUUAGAAAAAAGGUCAUGGAAGGCUUUUAUUGCUAAAUAUAUUAUGUUUGUGAAGGCAGUAAAGGCAGCAGCAAGUUAGCAUAAAUAGGUUUUCUUUACCUGUACUGUGAUUCUGACAAUUUUCCUACCUAUUUGUUUUUCUUGCACUUUGUACUGAUUUGUUCAAUAAUCUGAAUGGCUGUUUUCAUCUGAAGCACAGUGCAUUAUCAAGACUGCCUUGUUUUUUCCUUCUUUUCAAUUAAUUGUCUGAAGUCAACAUACUGGGUGUUCUGAUGAAAACAACACAGACUUCACCAACCAAAAGAGGCAUUUCCCAUGUUAGCAGUCACCUUGCAUACCACUUAAUGAGGCACCUAUAUUAUGACCAGCAAAACACUUAUCUAUUCUAAUUGAGCUGUAAAAAGACUGUGCUUUAUAUAUAUACACACAUAUAUGGUAAGUAUGUUUUGUGGUUUGUCACCGUCAGUAACCUUGUCAAUGUACUGGUAAUGUGGUGUUUUAUUCCUAAGUCAGAACAGAAAAGAAUUUGAAGCAAAAAUUGCUGCAAAGAUUUAAAGCAGGUAACAGAAUUUGUCUCACAGGAAAAACAAAAGAAAAGAGAUUAAGAAACUGGGGACAGGAAGGAGAUAUCAACCAGCCUGUUGUUUUCCCCAUGUGAAUUAAUGAGGGAUUAUGAUUGUUCUUAAAAGAUUUAAUUCCAACUUGUUGGGUUACUGUAAUUUUAUCAUUCUCUAAUGGAUUACCAUUUCUUGAAGUGAGUGUGAUACUGGAAUCCACUUCUACUAACUUAACACUAGUUUGACUAGGGUGGCUCUCCCUGGAGUCAGACAGGGCAGGUUGAACCAGUUUCAGUCAGUUCCUCAUGUCUGAAAUUAGGCCAGACUCGAUUGCUUAUGGACCCACUGUCAGGGUCUAUUUGUAGUCACAUCUUUUUGAUAUACUAAAUCAUUCUAAGAUUGAGUAUAAGUAUGACUAUGCUAAAAUAUAUUAGAUAUAUGUCCUAUAACUUAAUUGCUAGGAGAUACAGCCUAUUUUUAAUUCUCUUGAAUCUUACCUCUUCCCUGGGUAGAGCAUGCAUUCUUCUAUGUACAGAGUCCUCUAAAAAUUAAAAUCUACUCUCAGGCAAACAGAUGCCUGGUGACUGACUGAGGAAAAAAAGGUAUGAAAAUAAUUGAAGUUUGUAUUGCAGUUUGCCACAGAGCAUCAAUACCGUAAUUUGAGUUAUUUAAGCACCUUUGCAUAAGGAUACUUUUUAUUUCACUGCUGUCCACAGGUUAUGUUCUCAGAAGGGACAUGUUUUAAUCAAUAGAGCCCCAGCAUUACCAGCAUUGUGGUAAGAUUCUGCAGCAUCUGCUUUUUUCAAGGUCCAUGAACAUAUUGCAGAAAGCUUCUGUGUGUCUCUAGGGACCCUCUCCAUCCUCAUCCCCACAGUCUUGGUGCUACUCUGUCUUUAUGGGAUGCCAACAACUUCUUUCAGCCAUCAAAGUGCUCGAAGCAGGGCUGAAGUUAAUAGCUCAGACCAUGCACACUAAUGGUUCUUAGUAAAUUGAUAUGUUAUUAUUGCUUAAUUUUGGUAAACAUUCUUACGGGAAAGUAGUGUCUCAAUUGCAGCCCAUCUAAAAUAAGCUCAUUUAUGCUAAUGUCUUUCUCCUUGACACUCAGUAAAUUCUUCCUAAUGCAUUAAUUAUGACUCCAGAUAGACCAAUGAUUAUUUCAUAUAUGCUAAUUAGGAAUCAUUUUAUUCAGUCUGCCACACAUAUCAGUAAACAUGUGGAAUGAAUUUCCCACAGGGAGGAUAAAAAGACAAUGAUUUUCCUUCCAAUGAAGCUUAGAGAAUUUACCCCACAAACAAGAUAUAAUUAGAGAGAAAGGAGGACUUAGAAAAAUACACUUACAGGUGUGAGAGACACCAAAAACAUGUUCUUUCUCAGUGAUAGAAUAAAGCAGAUUCUUAGCUAAUUCCUUAGCCAAAAUCUCAUUCUCAGUCAAUGAAUUUUUACUAUAUAUGAUUAGGCAGUGCAACCACCUUCUACAAAGUAAAUAAAAAUUACCAUCAAAUUAGUACCAUUUGUAGCAGAACAAAUUGAUAUCCAAGAAAAGUGUAAUUUUAGCCCUAGUUGUGGAAGAGAUAGAAGUCUGAAGAAAAGUGUGUGGCAUAUCACUGUCAUGUGCAUGCAUUGAAUGUCAAGGUUAAAACAUGGUGUAGAGAAGUUUUUGCUGCUAAUACAUGAUCUUACUGCUACUAAAUCCCACAAUUCUACAGCUGGAUAAUGUAUGCCUCUUGUUCAUGACUGCUGUAUUACUAAUAAGGAUGUCUCCACAAAAACAUAAUUUCAGGCUUAAAACCAACCAAAGAGAAACACAAAAUGAAUUAUAAGAAGUAACAUCACUUAACAUACUGUUAAGCACAAACUCUUAGAACCUCAUGACAUAAAUGAUAAUUUAUUACAGGAUGAAAACUGGCAAUUUUUAUGUGCAGGUCAGAUCUCUAAAUAUAUAUAUAGGGUUAACUUGGAGAAAAAAAUUAUUGUGUGUGGAUAUGACAAUUUUUACUUGAUUUUUCUUUUCAUGUGUUACAUCAAGUUAACUCUUUAUAAGUUUACACUCAGGGCCUAGAGUUCUGCCAAGUACAUUCUAAAAACAUGAAUAAAUACUAUAGAAGGCUACAGUCUAAAUUCAGUUACCAAUUCUGGUGCAUGAGCAAAAAAAUUUGGUCUUCCAAAAUCAGCUGUUUCUGUAUUUGAAGGUUGACUGGUUAAUAUAGAUCUAAGAGUAACUUGUAUAAAUCAGAAAAUAUCAAAGGCUGAAUGAACAGGCUAUAUAUGGUUCAGAAACAAAUAAUUACUCUGAAGGCAUCUACUUUUUGGGAUAUGCCAUUUUUCUAUAAAUUCUCUUUCAAUUGUAAGCAUAGACCUACAUUAUAAAAAAAAAAAAAAAAAAAAAAAAAAAAAAAAAAAAGAGUGAGAAAUUGCCUUUGAGAAAUCCACAGCUAAUUCUGUUGUGAAUCCUGUGACUGCAGAAGUGGGAAGGACUGCACUGUCCUAAGAGAGACACGUACUAUUGCCUGCAAGGAAACAAAGUACAAAUAUUUACCUUAAUUAUUCUAAAGUCUGAGAGUGUUGGGAUGAAACCUGGGCCAGUGUCUAGAAUCUAAAAAAGUGAAUGUCAUCCUACAAAGAUCCCAAGGAAUAUCAAUGAACCUUAUAACAAAUUAAUGCUGUCAGAUGUACUUUUGUGUGUUAGUUAGGCUGAAUAAAAUGAAAGCACCUUUCCUUAGGCAGAUGAAUUGAAACUUAGAGUGACUAUAAAUUAAUGCACAAAUUAAUGUAAAAUUAAUGUAUUCUUAAUACUUAAGAAUAUGUUGGUUCUGGAUUUUGUGUUUCACAGCAGUGAGCAGUCCAUAAAAGCUGUUGGUUUGUGUUUGUUGUUUUGUUGAGGUUUUUUACUUUCCUGGUUUUAUUUUUUGGGAAUUUGAAGAACAGUUUUGAUCAACUGAGACACAGAAAAUAUAGUAGUGAAGAUAUGCCAUCAAGAGUAAACAUCCUUGUGUGAAAUCAUCCCUCUACAUUCACACUACUAUGUUCACAUUUUUUUCAAGCAAGGCAGGUCCUAACCUUAAGGUUCAGCAGGCAUACAAAAUUAUUCCUAAUCAAGGUAAAAAAAGGGCUGAACUCUGCUAGUGACUCUCUGAAAUGUUAAGGGGAAAAAGUCUAGGAUUAUUAAAAUUAACAUCAGUCAGCUUAGACAGAAAAUCCUUACCUGUCCAGUUAGAUUGCUCAGCCAUUCAGACCCCUGCAGAUAAGGGCUACUUACAGGCUGUUUAAACUCUGCUACACUUCUAAUGAAUGCAGAAUGGAUGAGUUAGCAAAGCAAGAACCUUGGGGAAAAAAAUAGGAGAAAAUGUAAAUUCUAAUUUCAUUCAUGUACUUCAGUGUAUGGGGGCUGAUAUGCAGUUGAGUGGUUGCUGCAGUUUAUGGAAAAGGUAAUGAAACAUCAGAUGGGUACUGUUCAACAGCAUUACCCAUAACAAUCACAUUGUAAGCUAUUUGCAGCUUUAAAUACAUAAAUAUAUUACAGCUAAUGGAUAUGUGUUUACAGCAACACAGCAAGGUUAUUUUGCCACUAUUUUUUUAAAGAGAAGAAAUUGAAAUACUGUUACUUGCUUACUGUGUUGUUUAAAAGGGAGACCAUUCCCUUAACGUUAAUUUAAACCAAAUUAUGAAGAGAAAAGUUAAACUCUUGUACAAUGUAUUGAAAGUUGAUUAAAUUGUAAUGAUGGUCCCUUGCUGGUAGUAGAGCAGUAGCACGCUUCACUAGCUUUUCAAUACACUACCUUAAUAUUCAGAUAUAUCUGUCUCACAAAACAUCAAAUGAAACCCCAUGUAAAUCCAAAUUUUUACUGAUUUUUAGUAUACAGAAGUAGGGGAAAUUUCAAUGAACUCUUUUUUUUUUUUUUUUUUUUUUUUUUCCACAGUAUGGACAUUAAAUCCUCACCCACAUGGUUGAUCCUGCAAGCACAAGAGCAUCUGCUUGGAGGAACAGUAGGAUAGGCACAGUUUGCUACUGACUCCACUGUCCUCUGCAGCAUUUCACACCUCUGGGGGUUUCAGGAUUCCCUCAGGUAGAGAAGCAGUGCUGAAGCAGGAAGAGGAAGCAGUAAGUCAGGUAAUGAAAGCCCAUCUGAACUGGUGAGAGCUAGAAAAAUCAGAAGCUUAAAGGUAAGUGCAUUAAUAACCUCUAAGUGAACACUAUGGGUAUUUUAAAUCCAUAGUGUGAUGGAUGUGGGCAUUACUUUUAGUAAUACAAUUAUAACAGCAAGGAUUUUGAAAGGAGAUUGAUGGAUUUAGGAACCCCUUAUAUUUGUCUACUAAGUCACCCAGAGCAUUUCAACACAUUAAUGUUCAUAGCUGAUAUAUAAAGUCAUAUUUGUUAAACUUGUUUAUAUUUUAUCCUCGUGAAGUGCAUGCACAUAGAACAAAAUCAGUUUUGAAACUCUGUCAUUUCAACAAUAUCCACUAGGGUUUUUUUUUCCACAAUGUUUCAAAAAGGAAUCUAAAUAACACAGAGGUCCAUUAAAGUGUUCAGCAUCUCUGAACAAGAAAGACAAAUCCUCCUCUAUAUAUAAUUUCAGCCUCUAAAAACUUAAGAAUAAACAACAGGAAAGGACAAAAAUCCAUGCCUGCGUGCUGGAUUCAGGGGCACAUCUGUAGGAGCAUGUGCACACUGUGGGGCACCUACUUAAUUUAAUUAGGUACACUGUACUAGCAAACUAUUUCUGCCUGAGAAAUUACAGAAGCCUUUGAUCUACGAUUCCAAGCAAAAGGGAAACAAGCUUAUUGCCCACCAGGCAAUUCCUACACUGUCCUGUGCUUUCCACAAAACCCCAGUCAGGUCAGCCUUUGGAAAAGGAAUAUACCUAGGCUGCAGGAGAGAGAAUUAUGAAGAGCAUUCCUCAGAAGGCAGUUUAUCAACAGAUGGCUUGUGGGGCUUGCAGCCCAUGCAAAAGGAACAAACAUUUCCCUUGUGAUUUAUUUCCCCAUGCAUCUGCCAAAAACUGGUCUCCCCAAGUCCCUUGGGAAUCAGUUUUCUCGGGUAAAAAUUCCAGGCCUUCAAUUUUUGUCCUUACUGGACCAAUAGCCAUGUCUAGAGCUCUUUUGAUGUUCAAAAAGGCUUGAUUUCUUUAAAAACAUGAAUAUGCCCCAGUGUUAAAUAAAAAAGAUCCUGUAUGCAAAUGCCAAAAGGAUCCAGGAUGCAAAUGCCAAAAGGUGAUGCUAGGGAAGGACUUCAAAACACGGAAAUUACACUGCACUCCAGGUACAUUCACUAUUUCCAGAACAAAAGAUCAUAUCUGCACACAUAUGCAGAAAAUCCCUGAAAAUCCCCCACUUCCUAUUGCUCCCACACAAUGUUUUAGCAGCCCCAAAGCCAUGAGUCUGACAGCUCCAUCUGACACCAUCAAUACAGGCAUAAAAGAAUUUAUACCGACACUGCUGGUGAAGGGGAUUGACAAAUAGCAGCUCUUCAGCUGCUAAAACAAGAACUGAAAAGAGCUUGAUUUAAAUAGAUUUCUAUCACAGGCAAUUGAAAGAAAUCAAGGAUUCUGAACAACAAGAAUGACUCUUUUAAAGCAACAAUUAGAAGUCAGGCUAAGCUUUAGCUGUCUAAAAGUUAGUGCCUUAUCUGAAUUAUUAUCAUUUCUUUAUGCUAUAUCUAUAGAUAGGACUACAUAGCAAGGAAACUUGCUCCAAAUGACAAGUCAAACUCUCCCUAUGAUAGCCGUUUUCUUGGAAAUUAAUGGAAAAUUAACAGGAGCAUAUCUGUUCUCUUUUCCAGUUUGCUUCAUUCAUUGAAAAAAAAAAAAAAAGAAAGAAAACCUUGAUGGCAUUAAAUAAUUCCUAAAAUACAUAAGAAAAUAACAGAAUUGUAUCCUAUUAAAACAUUCCUUAAAAGACUGCUCAAAAAAACUAUAGGAUAAACUAUAGGUUUAUCAGAAGGAUAAAGUUCAGACAAAACCCACAUAAUUAUAAUUUGUCUUGUUGCUAAAAGAAUCAUCUGACAUCAGGAGUUUUAAUUUGAAAGGAAGAUUACCCUUGGCUACUAAAGGAAAAAAAUUUAUCACUAGAAGCCCACUGCUGGAGCAAUGUUUAUAAUACCUUCACCCCUAAAUGGGUUCCCUUGAGCAAUGCUACAGAGCAGCUGGCUUCCCAGAAAUAUGAUGGCACCUUCUACCAUUUAAUUGGGCCCCUGAACUUGGUGGAACUUUCAGGAGAGGUUGUCCAGGUGCAGGUUAUUUGCACUCUAGGAUCUACAUAGUUAUACACAGCAUUAGGUUUUCCUACAUAGGUUUUUAUUUCUAAUUACUCUCUUCUCCUUGAUAGAUAUUUGCAACUCUUCAUUAGAGCAAUUUUGUAACAAGCCACAUUACUGAGUGUAAAUCAUCACACAAAAUCAGAAACCUGGUUACUUCACACUAGAAUAAAUUAUUUUGCUCAACAGUUAGGCUAACACGUUAUGAUUCUAAGCACUUCAAUUUUUUUCCAUCUUUCAAAACUAUGGCAGCGAAAAAAUGUCUGAAAAUAAGUAUUUUCUUUGAUAUAGAGGGUCCUUUCACCAGACAGUGACAAAUGUCUCAAAGGAUGCAACAUACAGAUCACCUCAACACGAGGGAGGUUCAAGGAUCUUUUGCUUUGCUUGCAUUCACCAAAGAGAUUUUAAGAUAAAUGUAUACCUUAAAAAAUUGCCUUAUGCUGUCUCUAUGUAUUCACAUUUGUAGCAAUAGAAUUGCUGCCAUGCACAUCUUAAAAAACGUUUGCUGACUAACACAAAAAUACAGAAUCUGGAGUCACAGUGUGUUCAUGCAGAAAACGGACUACCUCAGGUGACAGCAGAAAAGCCACCACACCUGGAAAUAAAAUAAAUAUUGUGAUAGCCUGUACACUUACCAUUAGAGAUAAAUACCAGUUUUUAUGCCUGUAUGGAAAAAAAAAAAAAAACAAAAAAAACACCUACAUUCAUCACAGCAGUGGGUGCAGUUCAAUUUGCAGUUACACAAUUUUAAAUUAAGACUUGCUUUUCUAAAGCCAGUGCAAUUCUGCUGACGAAGUGACCUGAAAGAGGAGUUCAGCUGAUUUCUCAACUGGUCUGCCAGUCAUCUCCCAGGUGCCAAGCAGGAACAAAGAAAUCAGUCAGCCUCCUGGGGUGAUGGGGAUGUGGCACAGCCUGGGUGAGGAUGGCACACUGCACGAGCCAGGCAUCCCUCCUCCAGGCUGCUGGGACACCCAGGUGGGUGACCUCGGGCCCCCAUGUCUCCUUCAGCAUUGGGAAGCUUUGGGUAUUUAUACAAGACACUUCCUGCACCACUGUGGCUGGACCUCCUCUCCCCAGCACCAACCUCUCAUAAGCUCUUUUCUGGGAUCAUACAAGGGAUCCUGGAUACACUGAUCAGGUUUACAGGCUGUCUGCACUUCUGCAGGAAUGACUUGGUAAGCUAUUUUUAUUGCCUUUAUAUAACAAUAACCAAGUGCUGAACUCUGACUGACAGACUAUUCAAGGUUUUUCUGUCUGCGUUUUCAGUGCCCACACCAGAUCAGAUUCCUCUUUCUCACUCAUCUUUUACGCCUUGGAUUUAUCAUUUCUAGACUCUUUCCCCAAAAAACUCACUAGCAUUUCUUUCUUGACCCAACUCCAUCUAUCAGCAAAUCCCCUAACCACUUCUCCACGUUGGUGCUUUUUCUUCUGAAACCAAUGGGAAUUAUUAGCUGAAGAUACAUUUCAUGCCCUCUUUGCCCCAGUCAAUACAUUUAAAAAAUUAAAUCAGGCAUCCACCUCAUUACAGCCCAUCCUCUCUAAGGAACUGCAAGCGUACCUCGAGUGCUACAGCCAGCUCUGGGCGCCAGCAAUAAUAGGAAUACAACAGGAAUAACAGCAGGAAUGACAAGGGGCUGCUGGAGCGAGUCCAGAGGAGGCCACCACAACGAUCAGAAGAUGAAGCACCUCUCCUACAAGGAAAGGCUGAGAGAACUGGGUUUGUUCAGCCUGGAGAAGAGGCUCUGGGCCUCAUUGUGGCCUUCUAGAACUUGAAGGGAGCCUUCAAGAAAGACAGAGAGAGACUUUUUACAAGGGUAGUGGCAAGGGGGAAUGGAUUCAGACUAAAAGACAGUAGGUCUAGUUUAUAUAUUAGGAAUUAGGAAGAAAUUCAUUACUCUGAGAGUGAUGAAGCACUAGAACAGGUUGUCCAGAGAAGUUGUGGAUCCCUGGAAGUGUUCAAGGCCAGGCUGGAUACUCACUAGGGAUAUAUGAUUUGGCAUUACAUAUAUUGAUACAUUAUGAAAAUUACUUCAGAGUCAUGAUGAUGACAGAGAAAACACAUUAAGCUUUGGAAAAAUAAAUAUGUAUCUGUAAUAAUCCUAGUUAUAAACCAUUUAACAUAUAUCACUACCUACACAGGUACUAAGCAAGUAUCACCUUCUGUAAUUCCACCAAACAGGUAUCAGUGUCAGAUUUCUUUCUACUAAUAAGUUUAGUGCUAAGCAUCUUUUUGAUCUUAGCAUAUAAACUGUGUGUGACCCUUGUACAAAUCAAACACAUAUUCACAGAAGUAUUCAACAAUAGUGUUUGUUUACAGUACAAAAUAAAUUCAGUUAAAUCGUAAAGCUUAAAUGUUUGCGAAGUUACUCAGAGGAAAUAAUUUAUCCUAUAUUUUUCAAAAAGUGCUAAAUUUAUGGCUAAAAUAAAUUAAAAUCAAGAGCUUUGUAAGAAAAGUUAAUUUUGAUUAAAAAAAUAUUUUAUGUGAGAGACAACUGGGCAAUUAAAUCUCAAUUUUCAAGAAAACAGGCUCCCUAAUUUUCUGUCUUAUUGACCCAUGAAAAAUGACAGAUCCUAACCGCAAUGAAUCAAAAAUAUGCAGUCUAGAUAAUGCAGGAAAAGAAACAAUCUUAUCUCUAAUGACCAGCAGCACAUUUUUUAAGAUAUAAUAACAACCACACAUAUAAAUUAUUACUUUCUCUAAUUCAUCACACCUAACACCGUGAAGAACAUCAGAGAUGUUCUUCUAUUGCAUUUCCAUUUUCAGGCACCAGAGGAACGAAGCCUUUGUGCAAUGCCUAUCACAUCUGGAAAGGUGGGGCAAAAAGGAUUCUUCCAAACUGAAAAUCAGAAAGCCAGCUAAGUUUUAGAACUUGGUAUCCUAGAUUUCAGCAUGUUAAGUAAGGUGCUAAAGAAUUUACUACAUGGCAUGUGAUUAGUGCCCAGUUUAGAAGUUGUUCACAUAUACCUCUCUGACAAUAUUAAUGAUCCCAGCUGUGUCAAAAGUCUGCAGUUAUAUGGCUUCAGCCUCAAAUUGAAUAAUUCCUUUGGUAAAAGAUAAUCCCAUACUGUUACUUUGGGGAAUUGUAAAAGUCAACAGUAAACGAUCAAUUUUGUCCAUAAUUCUGAAAGCACGAGUCAGGAUUAAACUGUAAUCAUGACUUGUUACUAGAUCAGUACAUGUCUGACUAAUGCCUGGCUGCAGGAGGAUUUAUCACCAGCUCAGUUACAUCCAAUGCCUUCCCACUUAUAUUGCUCCCUGCUGAGCUAAUGGGAUCUCCGUGGAAGUGUAUGGGAAAUUCAGCUGCUGAAGUGACAGAUACACAAGUCUUGGCUGUCCCUUCUUUCUGACAUGGAUUUGUGGGAAGAGAUGGGAUGGAGCUGAGCCACGGGCUGUGGGACAUGCCUGCAGAAGCACAUGGCAGCACAAAGGAGCACGUGGCAGCACAGAACAACACAUGGCAGCACAAGAAGCAUGUGGAAACAAAAUACAGCAGCACAGGACAGCACAAGAAGCACAUGGCAGCACAAAACAGCAUCACAGGCAGCACAAGAAGCACAUGGCAGCUUGUCUCUGCAUGACCUUGGGGGAAGGAGGCAUCCCAGCAGAGCCCUGCAGGAGAGGAUGUCACAACAGAGAUGGACAAGACACUUGUUUCUUCACGCAGAAUAGCUGCACCUUUAUUCACACAGCUCAUUAGCAUUAUUUAUAUCAUUAUCAGAAGGCACUGUGUUUAAAUCUAAUUGGCCAGCAAUUUGUUUAAACUCAGUGCAUUGGUUGGCAAUGGCUAGUGUACAUGUCCAUCCAACUUUUCUCUUUCUAGAUAAGUUUACAUUUUUGUCUCCUGGAAAGUGAAUGUUUCACAUGGGUAGAAUUUUCCACCCCAUAAGUGUGAGCUGUCCUCUCACAAGAAUAGAUUCUUCUGCAAACUGAUUCUCAUUCUUAUAAUUCUUGUCUCACAGGAAUUUACCAGAUUAGCUGUUAGCUUAGCUGAAGUAACAAGGCCUGAUUUGACAAGGCCUUCCUUUUAUAAGGCUUUACCUACAUACAAGAGGAGCCUGCCAGGGACUGACAGACAGGUGAACAACAUGUCAUCACCCCAUGGAAGGACAUGUAGAGUGUGUGUGGCUGACAUGGCAAUGUGGGACAGGUCAUGUACUGAGAAUUCCCACGUAAGGAAACACUGUGCCUUGCAGAACUGUAUAAAACCAGCUCGUUUCUUUGAAUAAAUGAUACAGAUUCCCUGCCAGGCCAAAUCAGUCGUUACAGGUAUUUUUCCUUUUCUUUUGCUUUUUUCUCAAAACGGUUUUCUUUUCUUUUUUUUUUUAGCAUUCGUUCUGGCUUGUAUUCUUCGUCAUAUUCUUUAAUAUGUGUUAAAGAAGGAGUAUUCUCCCUUUUUUUUUUAAGGUGUCCACAUAAUUCCUUGAAGAGAUAUCCUUGUAAUGACUUAAAGAAGAGAAAUUGAGAUGCACUGGGAGGUGGCCAUUCUUCCAGGGGCAGUGAAGCACACACAUUCCCACAAAGGCCCAGAAGAAAAACCAGGAACUACUAGUUUCUUUAUUUAUGUACAGUGCAAGCAACUGUCAAAAAACCUCUGUCAAAGACCAGGCAGGAUUUAGCCUUGAAAAAUAAGGAUACUUAUGGCACCUAUACAGUCUUCUUUGUGUGUUUUGUAUGACUAAGUUGAAUGAAUGAAUGAAUGAAUGAAUGAAUGAAUGAAUGAAUGAAUGAAUGAAUGAGCAGGCAGCUGGAACAAUUUUCUCUGGUACUGCAAUUUGUAUGAUCUGAAUUUUUGUGGACUCUGCACAUUCAAGAAGGCCUGGAAAAAGACAUGCAUUUAGUUAUGAAAACCUCAGUGUUGAAAAUAUAUAUGAAAUAUAUAGCUGCACUGCUGCCUGCUGUAAAUCAGCCUCUCUCUUGUUUGAAGUUAAGCUAUAUUUCAUCCAGCUGCAGAUGAAAAUGACUCAGGGUAGAAAAUGUCCCAGCACAUUGUCUAGAAAGGGCACUAGUAUUGGUGAUCUAGGUCUGAAAUCCUGAAUUAUGAGGACCCAGAGUCACUGUUAGACCCAAUAUUAAAGUAUCCUGAUUCCUGAGUCCCAGCAGUAAAACGAAGUAUACAAGGAUUUUUCCUAUUCCUUGUGAGGUUAACUUGCUACUGAUGCUGCACAUGGAAAUAAUCAGCCCUGCCAUGAUUCCUUAGAUAUCAGGGACUAAGUUUAGGCUUAUUAAAUAUGCUACUGUCUCACUUCAAUACUGAAAGAUAAAGUAUAUAAAACUAUGCAACAGAACAAGGAUUCCUCUGCAGACUGUGGUGAUGACCAUGGGGAAGCAGCUGUGUGCCUGCAGCCCGUGGGGAUCCGUGGGGAUGCAGAGAUCACCCACAGCCUCCAGGGAAAGGACUCCUCUCCCAACAAAAUCAACACACACACACUAACCCAAAAACCCCACCAAAAAAAAAAAAAAAAAAAAAAAAAAAACCAAAUACACACACACACAAAAUAGAUGUCAAGCUCUUAAUUUUGCAAAAAGAUCUAUUAUAUUUUGCAGCAACAGGAAGUCUUGUUUGCCAAAAAAUUUACUUUGGUAAGUAAAGAUACGCUACAGUGCAAAGUAUUUUCAAUUAAUUCUCUAAUAACAUCCUGUGAUGCAACAUUCAUUUUCAGCCAUAUGGAGUGAGGUCACAGAUAUUUUGUAUUGUAUGCUGCUGUAUGCAUAGGCAGCGUAGUGGGCCACUCAUGCUCUCUUAUAAAGAGUACUGGGAUUUAAAGGUAAUUUAUGGAGCUUUGAUAAAACCAGCAUUCCUUUUCAGCUGAAAAAAAAUCAGUUUUGGCUUUUGUAGUCCAGUGUUUCUCAUUAGUUUAUGGUCCCACUGUAACAGAAGUGCAAGAGUUACUGAGAAAAAAAAAAAAAAAAAGAAAUAUCCAUCCUCUCACUUACUGAGUGCUACAUGUUCUGUGGUGUCCAAAGACUGAAACCUAAUUGUGCUUGGAUCUGUAAAAACAUGAAAUGAGAUCACAUUACUGUCAGUAACCUGAAUAGAAGAUUACACCUGGGUCCAUUCUGGGGCAGUUGGCAGAACUGAAUCUUGAGGAGAUUAAAUGAGAUGAAUGUCAAGAGACUGGAGCAAUAAGACAGAGAAUCACUUCCAGAUAUAAGGCAUACAUGGCAAAGGAAUAAAGGAUGAAUAAAGGUUCAAGGUGAAAACUGAUCAAGCUGUUCUGGGCCUUCACACAGAAGGAUAAGGAAUUGAACCUGGCAGUAAAUCUACCAUCAAGUAGGACAUACCCAAAAGAAGCCAGUGAAAUAAUUUGGAGGCAGAAAUAUCAACUC